rnacentral:lncRNA from 1 species
CCAGGAAGAUGCUUGGCAGGGAACGUAUGAGCUCAGCUCAGCUAAAGGACUCCCAGUCCUUGGAUAUUUUCCAAUACAGAUCCAGGUCUAUCUAUCAAGAAGGACACGCAGCAUUCAGAACAAACGCUUCUGGAGAACGAUAAAGCACAGACUGUUGUAGGGGCUCAAAGCGGAGAAAAUGGAGGAAGAACAGAUCUUGAACAUUUAAUUAACCUUUCCUGCCGCAACGAGGAUGUCAAACAACUUUCAUGUCACUGAUAUGCUAACAGAGGAAAAAAUAAACAUUG